CCCUUAGAUGUCCUGGGCCGCACGCGUGCUACACUGACACCUACAACGAGUCAUUCCCAGUCCCGAAAGGCGGCUGGUAAUCAGCAAUAGGUGUCGUGAUGGGGAUAGAUCUUUGGAAUUCUGGAUCUUGAACGAGGAAUGCCUAGUAAGCGCAGGUCAUUAGCCUGCGCUGAUUAAGUCCCUGCCCUUUGUACACACCGCCCGUCGCUCCUACCGAUUUCGAGUGGUCCGGUGAAUCUUUUGGACUGUGACAUUUCCUCGUGUUUUGUCGCGGAAAGUCAGGUAAACCUUAUCACUUAGAGGAAGGAGAAGUCGUAACA
rnacentral:rRNA from 1 species